rnacentral:rRNA from 1 species
UACGGAGGGGACUAGCGUUGUUCGGAAUACUGGGCGUAAAGCGCACGUAGGCGGAUUUGUAAGUCAGGGGUGAAAUCCCGGGGCUCAACCUCGGAACUGCCUUUGAUACUGCAAAUCUCGAGUCCGGAAGAGGUGAGUGGAAUUCCUAGUGUAGAGGUGAAAUUCGUAGAUAUUAGGAAGAACACCAGUGGCGAAGGCGGCUCACUGGGGACGGUACUGACGCUGAGACGCGAAAGCGUGGGGAGCGAACGAGGAUUAUGAAA